CAAUAAGCGGAGGAAAAGAAACCAACAGGGAUUGCCCCAGUAACGGCGAGUGAAGCGGCAACAGCUCAAAUUUGAAAUCUGGCCCCCCCCCGCGGGGGCCCGAGUUGUACUUUGGAGAGGAUGCUUUGGGCGCGGCGCCGGCCGAGUUCCCUGGAACGGGACGCCAGAGAGGGUGAGAGCCCCGUACGGCCGGACGCCCAGCCCGUGCAAAGCUCCUUCGACGAGUCGAGUAGUUUGGGAAUGCUGCUCAAAAUGGGAGGUAAAUUUCUUCUAAAGCUAAAUACCGGCCAGAGACCGAUAGCGCACAAGUAGAGUGAUCGAAAGAUGAAAAGCACUUUGAAAAGAGGGUUAAACAGCACGUGAAAUUGUUGAAAGGGAAGCGCCUGGGGCCAGACGUGCGCCCCGCGGACCACCCGGCGCCACGCGCGCCGGGGCACGCCGCGGGCGCGCAGGCCAGCAUCGGCUCCCCGCCAGGGGGACAAGGGCCGCGGGAACGUAGCUCCUCCGGGAGCGUUAUAGCCCGCGGCGCCAUGCCCCUGGGGGGGCCGAGG
rnacentral:rRNA from 1 species